rnacentral:lncRNA from 1 species
AUAAAAAAUAAGACACAAAAGCCAAAAAUAUACUGGGGGAAUCAAUUCCUUUCAAAAUAUAGUUAUUUAGUUUCCUUUUGCCUCCACUGAAAUCUCUCUAGGAGAGACCUGAAAGAUGUCCGAUGUGUCUUUGCCUUUUCCCCUUCUUUGCUAAUGCUUCCCUCCUCGAAGACCUUAUCUAGGAGGGGCUCUGGGCUUCUAGGACUAUCUUUCUUCCACUGUGGGAGAGAUUUGCCUAGGAUGAAGUGAAACCACUUUGGCCUUGAUGGAACAGGUAGCAUAGUGUCUGAGAUAAAUGAUUCUGCACCUUCUGAAGACUUUCUCGCACAGCUAUGGGUGCUUGAGGUGCUGAAAAGGGAAGAGACUGUUGCCUCGGGGCAUUUGAAGACAAAUUUUAUAUCAAUCUCCUCCUCACACAUGGGUAUAGGUAUUGGUACAGCAAGCAAUUGAGCUUCACAUGGAUAUUUCAUUCCUUCAUGUGGGCAGCCAUCUGGGAUCCAGGAGGCACAAAUUAAACAGACUAUGUAUUCACAUGAGUUGUAUUCAUCAAGAGGGAGGGGAACAUCCUUACAAAUGUCAUUUUUUAUUCUCUUCUGAGGGAUGGAAUUGAUGAUGGCAUGAGCAGUUUUAUCAGAGAUGGUUCCCCCCUCGAUGGUGUACGGUUUGAUGUAAUUUAAAUGCAAUUUGGUCUGUUUCUUUUGCACAGAAUGGAGCUGAUGUGGGAGCCCAGAUUCAACCUCGUCUUGGUGGUCGGAGCUCAGCUCAGUCUCAGGCUGGUGGUCACGACCUGUUGGAGCCUCAAUCUGGUGGUUGGAACUUGAUGAUGAUAUGGUCUUGUCAGGGCUUGGAGGCAUUUCUUCCUCAUCAUCCACAUUUCCUGGUGAUGUGCUUGAUGCAUGGGUGGAUUCUGUUCCAGAUUCAGUCUCGUUUUCUGAGAUAGAUGAAAUAGUGAUUGAGGGACUAGCACUAGAUGAAGGUGUAUCAUACUCUCGACCCUCAGACAAUUUUGCUGAGUAUUCUAAAUCUCUUGGAGAUGUAGCCUGACUAUUGAGAUCUUCAGCAACUUCUGACUGUCUGUCAGGAGGACUAGGUGGAUGUAUUGUACACUGGUUAGAGCUAAGUAGAGUCAUUUCCUCAUUGUCUAAGUUCAAUGGUGGUAUUAUCCUUUGAUCCUGGUCUACUAAAAUGAUGUUUUGAAGCUCUGUUCCUGAUGACAUUGUGUCACAUGGGCCAGAUCCUGGUUGAAGGGACACCUGAGAGCUUAGAUCUGGUAUAUCUUCAGUCUGCUGGUCAGGACUGAAUGAAGGUAUGAUUUGAGAUUCAAGGACAAGUUGAGCUGGUUCUUUAGGUUUUAUGUCCACUGGAGGCAUUGUUGCCUCAUUAUCCUGGUCGGUUAGAAAUGUGGCCACUAAAUCUGUUCUCAAUGGUGUUAUUUCUCCAGACUCUUGGUCUGUUUGAACUAUUAAAUCUUGGACAGGGUCAUGUGCUGUAUCUUCAGCCUCUUGCUCUUGGUCCAGAGUGAGGAGUGGUGUGGGCUGAUGGUCAGAUGCAGGUACAGCAUUUUCUUGGUCACUGUUGUCUGGGGAAAGAGGUGUUAUUGCCCAAUGAUCCUCAACUAUUUGAUUUGCUUCUUGGACUUCUAUUCUCAGUGGCAUUAUAUCUAUGAUUUCAAUUGUUUCUUUCUCUAUUCCAUCUGAGAUAUGAUCAUCCACAUCACUAAGGACUGGAGUUUUCUCAGAGUGUGACUCUGUGGUAAAUGUUAAUGUGUUGCAGAGAUUUGUUUCCUCUGAUAGUGUUGCCCAUUCUUCUAAUUUUUGUUUAAGUGUAGCCUGGGCAUCAGGAUUUGAAAUAUCCUCAAUCUGGUGCUUAGGGCUAGGUAAAGGUGUUUUUGCCUCAUCAGGGCUAGAAAAUAUUCUCUCCUGGUUAUCCAAAUCCAGUGGAUGAGCAGUUUCAUGUUUCUCAUCUGUUAAUGUUAUUGCCUGGUGAUUGGAUAGUCCAAGUAGCAUUGCUAAUAUUAUUUCCCAGUACAUUUCUUUUAUUGGAACUGAUUCUUUGACAGUGGGUCCUGAUACAUUGCUAGUGUCCAUUUCUAGGCUGGAUGAAAAUAUAUCCAGAUGAUCUAUUUCUUGUGGUGGUGGUUUCCAUCGUUCUAGUUCUUGAUGAAGAGGGACCAGGGCAUUGGAGUCUGGCGUAUGCUCAGCUCCGGACAUAGGACUGGAUGGAGGUGUGGUCCUUUGGUGAGGGCCAGAUAGAGUUAUAUCCUGGGGACUUGAGUCCAGUGGAAUUAUGUUCUCAUCCUGUCCUGUUACAAAGAUUUCCUCCUGGUCUAUCUCUGGGGAUAUUGUUUCCCAAGUGUCUAGUUCUGUUUGUAUGGAGGCAUGGACAGGAGGCUCUAAGGUCUUGUUAGUUUCCAGGUCAGGACUGGAUGGAAGUGUUUCCUGGAGGUCUGUGUCUGGAGAUAUUGUUUCCAAGGUGUCUAGCUCUGUUUGAAUGGAGACAUGAACAGUAGGCUCUGGGGUGAUGUCAGUUUCCACAUCAGGACUGGAUGAAAAUGUUUCCUGGAGGUCUGUCUCUGGGGAUAUUGUUUCCCAGGUGUUUAGCUCUGUUUGGAUGGAGACAUGGACAAUAGGCUCUGAGAUCAUGUCAACAUCCACUUCAGGACAGGAUGGAAGUUUUUCCUGAAGCUCUAAUCUUUGGGAUAUUGUUACCCAAGUGUCUGGUUCUGUUUGGAUGGAGACAUGGACAGUUGGCUCUGAGGUCACGCCAGUUUUCAGGUCAAGAUUAGAUGGAGUUAAGUCCUGGAUAGCUUUUCCUUGAAAAAUUGCUUCAAAAGGCUCUUUGUCAAUUUUCACUAAUGUGGAAGGCUUCUCUUCAGGACUGCAUGGACGCGAAUCCAGGAGGUAUUUUCUCAGAAGCUUAGUUUCCCAGUUGUCUUGUUCUGUUUGAACUGAGACAUGGGCAAGAGAGCAUGGUCCAUGUAGUUGGCGAUUGUUAUACUUGCAUACUGUUGUAGACCUGUUUUUCCGAUUCAGAUGAGAUGUAGGUACAGCUAGGGGUCUAGGACGGUGCUCAAGGUAUUGUAAAAAGGACAUUGCUUCCUUGAGCUGCAAGUCACUAUGUGAUGUCUUCAGAGCUUGGGUCUGGGCCUGGUGGUUUGGAGAUGGUGAUCUGAAAUUUGGGCCCUUGGUCCAGUUAGUAAAAGGUAAUGAUUUUGCAAGUGGAUGGAGUACAGGGUCCAAGUUAAAAAGUCCUAACAGUGCAUUGGUAGCCUUGAUCCGGCGCCUGGGUCUUGGCAAAACUUUGGUCCCCUGAGUGGGGGGUCUUGCCAGAGGACCACUGGUCUUGAUCUGGGUGUCAGGAACUGGAGUAUCCCUGGAUUUGUGGCCCUUAUAUAAUGGAACCUUAGUCUGGUGGUCAGAGAAGGUUGAAAUUGGGUCCUUUGGGUUAAGAAGUGAUAGAUCCUCAAUACUCAAAUGAUCACAAGCUGGGAAAAUCUUGGGAAGAUGGUCAGAACCUGAAGAAUUCUCCAACCGGUGGUCAGAAUCCGAAGGAAAAUCAUACUGGUGUUUGAGACUGAGAGGAGGUAUAAGGCACUGAUCAAUGGGAAUCAAAGACCCAGAAGUUUUUCUGGUUGGGAUAUCAGUCCUAGGUAAAGGCAAGACUGGAGCCACUGUACGGUGCUUGUGACGAGAAGCUGGUUUAGCCAGGUGAUGAAGACGGGGCAAUGGCGCUGCCACUGCUCUAUAAUUAAGGUGGGGCAUCUUGGGAGCAUUGCCUGAAUGUUUGAGCCAAGAUGUAGGCUCUUGUACAUUCUUGUGGUAGUGACGGUGUGAUGAUUGUGAGGUAUUAGAAGUUUGUUGAAGGAGAGACAUCAGUUCAGUCCUUGACUGGUAUUCUUUUUCCCAGAAUGGUGAAAUCCGGUGUGGAUGACAUGGUAACAACACUGAUGAGGUUUGGCGAUACAGACUAUUUUGAGGGAACUGGAUCAGUUCUGCUGCUGAAAAAGAUAUAAUCUACCUCCAAUGAUGGAUCUCCUAGAAUUGUGAGGAAGCUCUAAGUUCAGGUGGACAAAGACAGCUGGGUUGCUUUAUGAUGUCAGAUUCUCCUUUGAUGCUCUGAAGAAUGUGGACUGAAGAAUUAAAGGUUCUGUCCUAUUCUAGGUGUUUGAAGAUGCCAGUCUAGUUUUCUCUUCAUCCCAGGACCCAGUCUUCUCAUAAGAAAGAGUGUAUUAUUUUUCUGAACAGACUUUAUUUUACUAUUUUCUUAUUAAUUUUUAUUUUGGAUCACGGUCCUUAGACCUCCCCUCACCAGAAUCAUGAGCAAAAUUGCCCUGACUGAGAAUGAGCUUUCUAGCUUUUGAAAUAUGUUUGCUGUUCUUCUAGACAUUCUACUGGUAAGAUAUACUGUGGAAAUUCUUCUGUAGUGGAAUGGGGAAAAAUCAAAAGAUAUUUUCCAAAGAAGCUCCUCGCCCAGGCCUUUGUUACAAGGCCAAGGUGGUAUGGUUACCAUGUCCACCACACCACGUUUCACCCCUGUUGGAACAAGACUCCUAUGUGAAGGCAGAGCAGGCAUCCCUCAAGCAUCAGGAGAGAACCAUCCAACCGGUGCCCCAUCCCCGCCCUCGGACCGAGCCAGUGCCCUCGCCACAUUUCAAACACCCCAUGAUAGCCGUCCGGCCACCCUGUCCUCCUCCCAGCACGGUCACAAUACCGCUGCCCCAUCUCCACCACCAAAGUACAGUGAAUAAGGCACCCGCUAGUCCCAAGCACCAAGUGGUCACCUCGGCCCUGCCUGUGAGCAGGCCUGACGUCCCCUCUGCCAAGCCUGCCGUGACUUUAGCAUUCAGCAAACAGUGCCCGCCGCUCCGCCCUAUACAUCAGCCUGUGAUUCCACUGGAUGCAAACCAACACACAGAAGCUGCUCCUAACCCUGACCACUUCCCCAAGAUUAUCCCAAGCUCUGUCCCCCUGGCUGAGGAUCCGAGUCAUCUCAAACAUCUGUCGGCGCUGCCAUCAUCUGCUGAGGUGCCACCACGAGAGGUCCACAGGACCAUGUUCAUAGCGGUUCCCCAAGCGGGCCCUAACCACCCCAUCAGGGUCACGAGUGUGCCCGUGAAUCCCGGCCCACAGCCUUUGCCCAAGCCCAGGCGUCGCAUCAGGGCCACAAACGCGCUCUUAGGGUUUUUAAAACUAGAACCUAUGCUUCAUUCUGCUAGCUCAAUAUCCCUUGGUCCAAACCACUGGUCCAGAGAGACAACUGCAAAACCCUCGGGUCUGGAUAAUUGGACCCAACCAAAAAGAUCUUCAUCUUCACAUCCCAACCUCCUUUGCCCUUGGAAGACAGUAUCACUGCUGUACUGCAAUGAGUCCCCCCAAAAAUCAAUGGGGGAGCCGUUAUCACAUCUGAAUCAGAAAACCAGGGCUACCACUGCACCUGCUCCUGUUCAGCUACAGCAGGCUGGGGACAUGGCUGGCCCUAUGGCCCAUGGAUUACUUCAAAUGGAAAAAAAGCCCUGGGAAACAAGUUCAGUGAGAGCCAGCCAGGAUCCAGGGCUGAGACAACUUCCAAUUGACUUACAUUUCCAGGGCAAAACUCUGCAUGUCCCUAACCACCAGGUGGUACCUCCUCCCCAUCCAGUGGGUCCUUUACAACCUAUGGCCCAGGUCCCACUUCAAAUGGAACAAGAUCAUAGGAAGACGAUGCCAUUGAGACCGGAUAACCAGGUUCCCAAUCCCACAGGACAGGAUCACUGGACCAUCCCUCCUUUCCUGGGCAUGGAUGGCCAGAAAACAAUUCUUUUUCUCCCUCAGUACCAGGCCACACCACCUCCCAGCCCUAUCCAUCAGUCGGAGGACAUCCCAGGCUCCAUUGCUUAUACCUUGAAAACGCUGCCACCCAGAAUGCAGCCACAGGCCACAACUAUAACAGGUGCUAGUCAGAAUCUCAGAACAGUACCUUCAAUGGUGUCUUACAAGCACGACAUCAAUCAGCUGGGCGCCGUACCCCAAUUCACAACUUCCCUCAACCCUGACUACCAGGUUGGGAAAGUCAUAAAUCCCAAUGCCCAGCUGAUAUACCAACCAAAUGUAGAAGUAUGGGGAACAAUGACAAAGGGAAUGUAUCACCAGGAUAUGAGUCCCUUUGUGUGGGGUUACGGGGCAAUCCCUCAACCCCAGAACACAAAUAAGACGAUUCCACCUCACUUGGACCACUGGGGCACACCUCUCCAACCUGAAUUUCAGACUAAGACUAUACCUGACCCAAAUGUUCGGUUUACACUUCAAUCAGAACCCAAGCAUCACGGAAGAAGGCAACUAGGAGUAGACCACCAGCCUGCCUUUCUAGCAUGCCGAAAUCAAGGACCAAUUAUGUAUCCCCCAGGUGUAGGUGGCUGGGAAAAAAUUCCACCUGGCCCUAACUAUCAGGAGACGGUGGUCAGCGCUCAUCCUGGGCCUAAGCAACAGCCAGCUAUGGCUAUACCAGAUCCUGCUGCACAAAUCUUGUUUCAGCCUGAACAAGGGCACAGGGGACCAACAAUGCCAAAAAUAAAGAUCCAGACCCCAGAUCUUAAUUUAGUAUCUUCACUGGGCUUAGAUACCCAAAACCCAAAUCUUUGUGUCUCUGAACACCAAGCCAGGCUUGUAGUCAAUAAUCCUCACCAGCCUAAGGAGAUGAUGAAGGAUGCCAAGGUCCAGGUCUCCUUUCAAGAAUUCAAACGAUGUGAAAUACCACCAGUGGGAACCCACCAGCAGACCCCAAAUCCCCCUGAUCACGUCCAUGGGACAACAGUUCCUCUGAACAAUGAUGAGAAGGUAGCGUGUUUUCCUGCCUCUGACCAUUGCAUCCUAUCACCACCUGGCCCUGCCUAUCAGGCUGAGGCUGUUCCAGAGCCUAAUGACCAGGAUGCAUGGCAACAAAAGCUAGAACACAAUGAAACAAUACAGUCAGCAAUGGAGCAGGAAGCCAAGAAUUCCACUGGCAAAGACCAUGGAGCAACACUUGCUCCCUUGAACAAAGAUCAACAAGAAACUAACUGUGAGCUUGAUCACCAGGACACAUCUCGUCUUAAAUCAGACUGUCAAACUGAGGAUACACAAGACCCUAGAGACCAGGAUUCAAUUCAACCAGAACAACACUGGCAAAAAGAACAACCUGGAACAGAUCAGCAGAUCACAAAUCCUCCUGCCCAAGAUUCCACAGAAAAAACUCUGAUUAGGAGCACAGAGAACCAGGAAACAAUUCUCUCAGGCACUGGCCACCCUAGUCCUGACUUUAGGGCUAUAGAUUCAGCAAGCCCUGGCACUAGGGAAUCAGGUAAAACAGAACAGGAAAACAAGGAAAGACCACCACUUGGAAGGGAAUGCAAAGCCACAACUCUUCUAACCCCCGAUUUGGAGGCAACGGUACCUCCCCUGGGCUCUGACGCCCAGGAUAAAACUCUGCUUGACCCUGAAAACCAUGGCUCCCUUGCACCCAGAGCUGAGCCGGAUGUGGAUGCAUCAGGGCCUGUCGCAUCAGAACAAGUUCUCCGGGAAACACUGAAAACAGAUCCACAGGCCACAGGUACAACCAUCUGUGAUCACCAGAUAACACCACCUAUAGUGGGAGCCGACUGUCAGGCCCCCUGUCCUCCCACCACUGGAGCUCACAACCCAAUUCAGAAAGAACUGGAAGAGUGGGAAAGGUCAGAAGAAAUCAGUUCCCAGGAUUCUAUCCUUUUAGAAGUGGGUGUCAUGCAUAUACCUAAAUUAGACUUAGAUCUCCAAGACACAACUCCAUGUCCCCCCGUCUAUGGUCCUGAUGAUCAGGCUACAGAUAGAAUAGAUCCCAUUGCCCCAACAUGGGUUCAGACAGAACAGAAGUCCAGAGAAGUAUCAUCAAUAGCAAUAGAUCAGCAGGCCACGACAGUAACAGGCCAGACUCAGGAGGCAGUCACAUGCCCCCCAGACUUGGAAUCCCAGGACACAGCUCAAUGUGGUCCUAAAUGCCAGAGCCCACUUCCGUGCAGCCUUGACAAGCGGGAGAAGAAUAUAGCCUCUCCCAAUGACUUGUUCUCACUUCAGCCCCCAACCAAUCAAUGCACAGUAGUGUCCCAGGAAACAGACCAGCAGACCACAAUUCUAAUGGACUUGGGAUUCAGGACAUCACCUCCGUUGCUGAUACACCCCCAGGACCCAAUUCUGCUUGAUUCUACCUACCAGACCACACCUUCCUCUGGCCCUGCAGAAGCUUUCUCAGAUCCUGAUCUUCAGAACAUACCUCCACCAGAUCCUGAGUGCUUAGCACAAUGGUCCCCGAGGCAAGAGCGCCAAGUCUCACCCCUAUCCAGUGUUGACCACCAAGUCACCCUUCUGCCCAAUUCAACAAACCAGGCUGAGGCUAUAUUUGAGUCUGUCAAACCCCAGGUCACAAUGUCAACACAGUUAUGUAAUCAGGAUAAAGCUUUAAUAAGCUUCAUUAAACCCAAGACUGUGCUGCCCUCAGGUCCCGGGCUGCUGACUAAACGUCUAAGGGGUCGUGGCCCUCAGGUUGAAAAAUUUGACCCCCAAGUUCAGAUUCACUCAAGACCACAAUACCAGACUCAACCAGUGCUAAACAAAAAGUCUUCUUGUUUAUAUUAUAUCAAGCCAUACACUGUGGAGGGAGGAAUCAUCCCCAACAGAAUAGUUCAGCUCAUCAUCGAUUCUAUCCCUCAGGAAAAAAUAAAAAAUGAUGUCUAUAAACAAAUUCUCCUGCGAAAGAGGAGGAAAUUUUCUCCUCAUGGUUCUAAUGGAUACAGUUCAUCUUACUAUCCUAUCUGUUUGCUUUGUGCCUCCUGGAUUCCAAAUGGCUGUCCCCAUGAGGGAAUGAAAUACCCAUUUGAAGCACAGUUACUGGCCAUACCUACGCCUAUGCCUGGUUUUGAAGAACUCGGGGUGAGAUUUGUGCUCCAAGUGCCCCAGACAACAGAAAGCUCCCCUCUCGAGUUUCCUUAUUCCCGGCAUGGUCUGCAAAGGCACCCUCAUGGCCCACAAAUCUUUUCAACAUCAUCCUACUCUGAUCCUGGGCUCUCUAGAUCUUCCAGACCAAAGUGGCUACACUUCAUUCUUGACAAGGCUCAUCAGCAAGAGGGGAGAAACCAAGAAGCAGAAUUCAUAGGAGAAAUGCCCUUGAAGAGGCACAGCCUCAGAGAAGAGGACACUGGGGAUGGGAGGACAUUUUUUAAAUCUCUGUUGGAAAGAUUUCAGUGGAGGCUGAGAGAUUAAAUUACUAUAUAUUCUAUUUGGAAAGAAUUUAUAUGUUUGAAAUAUGUCUUGAUUUCAUAUCUUGCACAUGUAAUUUUCU